rnacentral:piRNA from 1 species
UUUUACCUCAUGGUACCAGCCCACAUUAAU